rnacentral:rRNA from 1 species
AUUGAACGCUGGCGGCCGGCCUAACACAUGCAAGUCGAACGAGUGGCGGACGGGUGAGUAAUGUAUGGGAAACUGCCCGAUGGAGGGGGAUAACUACUGGCAACGGUAGCUAAUACCGCAUACCAUCGGAUGUGCCCAGAUGGGAUUAGCUAGUAGGUGGGGUAACGGCUCACCUAGGCGACGAGCCCUAGCUGGUCUGAGAGGAUGACCAGCCCAACUGGAACUGAGACACGGUCCAGACUCCUACGGGAGGCAGCAGUGGGGAAUAGUGCACAAUGGGCGCAAGCCUGAUGCAGCCAUGCCGCGUGGAUGAAGAAGGCCUUCGGGUUGUAAAGUACUUUCAUCGGGGAGGCGUGACCCGCAGAAGAAGCACCGGCUAACUCCGUGCCAGCAGCCGCGGUAAUAC